CACACCAACAAAGGCACCAGGUGUUAAAAUAAAACAGCACAGCCUCUCACACACCAAUGUAGGUACCUGGGGUUGAUUUCCCUCCGGUCCCUCCCACCAAGCGGGAUGAUGGGGCUAAAAGAUCACAUUAGAUUUACACAUGACUGCAGUUCUGGCCAUGUUUAAAACCAAAUCCAAACUUCUGUGAACACUUUUCAAACACUG